UACGUAGGGUGCAAGCGUUGUCCGGAAUUAUUGGGCGUAAAGAGCUCGUAGGCGGCGUGUCGCGUCGGAUGUGAAAACCCGCAGCUUAACUGCGGGCCUGCAUUCGAUACGGGCAUGCUCGAGUUCGGCAGGGGAGACUGGAAUUCCUGGUGUAGCGGUGAAAUGCGCAGAUAUCAGGAGGAACACCGGUGGCGAAGGCGGGUCUCUGGGCCGUAACUGACGCUGAGGAGCGAAAGCGUGGGGAG
rnacentral:rRNA from 1 species